GUCCAUUAUUAGAUUAUAUUGUCCACUCAGCAGUCUAACAGACCAUUAUUAGGCUCAGCACUGUAUUUCCUAUGUUGUAUGUGUAAUUCGUAAGAUUAGCCUAGUGAAGUACUAAGUUUUUAUCUAAUUGAGUGAUCCUGAAGAAAUUUUUGAAAAUGUUAAAUUUCAACUGAAUUUUUGCAGACAGCUAUGAAGAGGGCAGAAGGAAGGCUAAAGAGGCAGAGACCUGGUCAGACCUCCAGUCAGACGCAGAAAUGUCUGGACAGAAACCACCAAGGCGUAAAAUGAAGAGUGUUCGAAUUGGCCCACCUGGAGGUUGCUUAAUGGACUCAGAGGAGGAAUCUGGCCCACCCCCAAGCAACUUCUUCCACCUGCCCCCACUGUAAACCUCCCUGUAGUCAUCCCAAACACCACUUUCACCCCUGUUCCCAUCACCACAUUGCCAGCAGCAGCAGCACCACCACCACAAGGGACAUAUACAGAGAUGCUGCAAAAUUGGCAGCCGAUGGACGAUGUGCCACCGCUGCGGAGUUGUCAGACGUUCAGAAUUGCCCCCAGCAAUCAUCAGAACCAGGUUGGUCCUUCAGUGAUUUCCACUCAGUCAUCUUACUUUUUAAGUUUAUCGUUUUUUUAAUAAGACUAAGGAUGACAUUGUACAGUUUUGUAGUGUGUAUUGUAAUUGUAAAAUAUUGUAAAUGUCUUUAA
ensembl:lncRNA